rnacentral:rRNA from 1 species
UACAGAGGUCUCAAGCGUUGUUCGGAUUCAUUGGGCGUAAAGGGUGCGUAGGCGGCGCGGUAAGUCGGGUGUGAAAUCUUGGAGCUUAACUCCGAAACUGCAUUCGAUACUGCGGUGCUUGAGGACUGGAGAGGAGACUGGAAUUCAUGGUGUAGCAGUGAAAUGCGUAGAGAUGUGGAGGAACACCAGUGGCGAAGGCGGCUUUCUGGUCUGUAACUGACGCUGAGGCGCGAAAGCGUGGGGAGCAAACAGG